rnacentral:rRNA from 1 species
AGAUCGGGGAUAACACCUGGGGAAACAGAUGCUAAUACCGGGAUAACAGGCAGAUGAUGCCCUAUCAACUGUUUUAAAAAGAUGGUUCUGCUAUCCACUCUUGGGAUGGGACCUGCGGUGCAUUAGCUAGUUGGUAGGGUAACGGCCUACCAAGGCGAUGAUGCAUAGCCGAGUUGAGAGACUGAUCGGCCACAUUGGGACUGAGACACGGCCCAAACUCCUACGGGAGGCAGCAGUAGGGAAUCUCCACAAUGGACGCAAGUCUGAUGGAGCAACGCCGCGUGAGUGAAGAAGGGUUUCGGCUCGUAAAGCUCUGUUGUUGGUGAAGAAGGACAGGGGUAGUAACUGACCUUUGUUUGACGGUAAUCAAUUAGAAAGUCACGGCUAACUACGUGCCAGCAGCCGCGGUAAU